UCAGACAUUCUGGUGUCCAUAUAAGGAGACAAUUAAUGCUAGGGUGCCGGGAUAGCGGGGGGCGAGGGCGAUGGGAUUCCUACGCCACUCCCGCUGCCGGAGCAAGUUCGCUCCGUUGGGCUGAGGCGGAGCGUGACUGCCUAGCCGGGCGUGUGGGGCUGAGCCUCGCUGGGACGGGGCUGGCCGAGGGGAGGUGGCGUUCCUGGCCGGACCCGCUGUCCCCAGGCGCUGCUUGGGGCGCGCCGCUUCGUGCGGGGUGCGCGCUCUCCCGCAGCCGGCCCUGCGCGGCCCGCCCUGGGCGCGGCCCCAAGCGCUUCCUCCCACACUGAGAAGUGGCGACGGCUGUGGGCGCCGCUUGUCGCUUGUCGCCUGCGCUCCGCUCCGGGUGGGGAGACCGUCCCUGCCUUCCCGCCCCCCGCGCACCGCCCCUCAGGGGCUGAGGGGACGCGGCAGGACAUCGCUGAGGCGGCGGCGGCCCCGCGGGGCGGCACGUACCGGGAGCAUGAACCUCGGCUUGGGUAUUGCCGCUAUGACUGGUGGUAACAGCGGGAGCUUGUUUAAAUACACUUAGUAUUCACAGCUGUCACAUUGAUGUCAUAUGAGUAACAGCUUUGAUGCAGGAUUAACAGGCUUGGGGAGUUCUGCAGUUCUGUGUAUGUUCAAAUUCACCACGAGGUCAAAGCAUUUAGAUUGGGCGAUGCUUCUUGAAAAGCCACUGGCUGAAAUGAAGUACUACAUGGAGUAAGAAUGAACUCUUUCUAUAUAUGUGAUUGGUUUUUAACUGCAUAAUUUUAGAGAUAUUUAACAUUUUCAUAGAUUCUUUAUGGCAUAUAUAAUUAUCUGAUUUAGUGCGCAAGCUAAAGAUUUGUAGCCAUAUAUUAGUAGAUACAGGAGAUUACUGACAUCGGCAAAUACUAAAUGGCCAAAUUAGGCUUCAAAGAGAAAAUGCUAGAUAGCACUUAAUUUCUGCAUCAGUUUAUAAACUCCCUCCUUAUACAGUGGAGAUAUAAAUCCACAGAAUAAAUAUUUUUUACAUACCUUUGAGUUUCUUAUUUCAGUUAUACAUCUUGACUGAAACUCUUCAAGUGUCUCGGGGGAGCUUCAAGUAAUUACAAUAGAGAAAGACAAUUAACCUAAUGCAAAAAUACUUUCUUCUUCCUGCCCCCAAAUCCUGAACUUGCAGUUAUUUUCAUGUAGUUGGACCUUGUACUUGGGGAAAAUUUAGUAGGAUUCAUUGUAAGAUUGCUUUGUGAACCUUUUUGUUCUCUGUUCCAGAUAAAAUGCAGUGGCAUUACAGAAAGAUAGUAUGUAUUCAACACUGGCACUCAUGAUUUUAAAGAUCAUUAGGAUUGUAGUGAGAGUUUUAUCCUGCUGCAAAGGGAAGAAUCCAAAAUGACAUAGAUUCAUGCUACAUUACUGGGCCUGAAAAAGCUGUUGUAAAGGCAUGUUAUUUGUUUUAGAAUCUCUUCAGUCUACUGAAAACAUGAUCAUUUUUCUCUUCGUCUCCUCUAUAAUUAGAUUCCUAGCUAUUAAAUAUCAAAUUGUGAAUUUUUUAUCCAUGGGGAAAAUCUCUGUGCUGUGUCUUGCUUUCCAGUAGGUGUCAAGCGUUAGUGGCAUUUUGCCCCAUACUGUAGGUGACACUGCCAUGUCAGUCUUGAGAGUUAGGAAUGAGAGGUUCAUAAAUCCUGUCUAAAAGGAGCUGGGCUAUAAACUAUUAGUUCUGUUAAAAUGUUUCAAAAUAAUUCCUAUUUAAGGCAUUAUAUGCAAUACAAUAUCAUGUAUUCAGUGUACUUACAAAAGGCAACAGUUGAUUAAUAAAAAAUUUAAUGUUUUUUGAAA